AGCGAACGCUGGCGGCAGGCCUAACACAUGCAAGUCGAACGAAGCCUUCGGGCUUAGUGGCGGACGGGUGAGUAACACGUGGGAACGUACCUUUUGGUUCGGAAUAACGCAGAGAAAUUUGCGCUAAUACCGAAUGAGCCCUUCGGGGGAAAGAUUUAUCGCCGAAAGAUCGGCCCGCGUUGGAUUAGGUAGUUGGUGUGGUAAAGGCGCACCAAGCCUACGAUCCAUAGCUGGUCUGAGAGGAUGAUCAGCCACACUGGGACUGAGACACGGCCCAGACUCCUACGGGAGGCAGCAGUGGGGAAUCUUGCGCAAUGGGCGAAAGCCUGACGCAGCCAUGCCGCGUGAAUGAUGAAGGUCUUAGGAUUGUAAAUUUCUUUUACCAGGGACGAUAAUGACGGUACCUGGAGAAAAAGCCCCGGCUAACUUCGUGCCAGCCGCCGCCGUAAAAC
rnacentral:rRNA from 1 species